CGGCAAAACUAUCGAAAGGUAGUGACGCAAAGCUAUAGGGACUACUUCCUCCAAUCUGUAGAGGAAAUGUCAGCCAGUUGCC
rnacentral:ncRNA from 1 species